rnacentral:rRNA from 1 species
GACGAACGCUGGCGGCGUGCCUAAUACAUGCAAGUCGAACGGUCUUUUCUAUGGAAGCUUGCUUCCGCUGAGAAGAUAGUGGCGAACGGGUGAGUAACACGUGGGUAACCUGCCCAUAAGAGGGGGAUAACAUCCGGAAACGGGUGCUAAUACCGCAUAGUUCUCUUGAUCGCAUGAUCGAGAAAGGAAAGACGGCCUUUGUGCUGUCACUUAUAGAUGGACCCGCGGCGUAUUAGUUAGUUGGUGAGGUAACGGCUCACCAAGACGAUGAUACGUAGCCGGCCGGAGAGGGUGAUCGGCCACAUUGGGACUGAGACACGGCCCAAACUCCUACGGGAGGCAGCAGUAGGGAAUCUUCCGCAAUGGACGAAAGUCGGACGGAGCAACGCCGCGUGAGUGAAGAAGGUUCUCGGAUCGUAAAACUCUGUUGUCAGAGAAGAACAAGUCGGAGAGUAACUGCUCCGGCCUUGACGGUAUCUGACCAGAAAGCCACGGCUAACUACGUGCCAGCCGCCGCCGUAAGAC